GGGCAAUCAUGUUUCCUUUCUUUGCCUCUUUUAUUUCUUAUUUUUCAUUCAAUAAACAGGUGUGAACCGGCCAGCCUGUAUUCACAUAAUGACCCGGCCACCCGGGUCUGACAACACGCCCUUUGAUCCCUGUAUUCGCCGUGGAAGCCCUCUGUUAAAGGGACCAUGGGGACGACUCAGUUGAGUGAAAAACACUUAGCACAAGGCCUGACGCGUGGUGGACACCCUAAAGACGUUACUGACACUGGAUACUUCCACGAACAGGGGUGUCAUUCCUGGAGUGGGUCUCAUUAUCUCCCACCAGCACCUAGAACCGGAUGCAGAAGAUCCUUCUCCUCUUCAGUCUUGGGUCCUCCCAUCAAGCUCUACCCAGUAGCCAGAGGGACUUCUCACAUGCAAAAGAAUAUCUUCCCCUCCUCUGCUUGGGGCAACCUGCAAAGAGACUUCUACAAGUCUUUGGUCACAGUUCCUUUUCUUGUCUUUUUCUCCUUUUCUCCUUGUCUUAAGGAGUACGUUAAGGCAUAAAAAGUGUGGGUAUCAUUGGA